rnacentral:rRNA from 1 species
UAGGAUUCCCUUAGUAGCUGCGAGCGAACAGGGAAGAGCCCAGCACCGAAUCCCGCGGCCGACACCGGACGCCGGGAAAUGUGGUGUUAGGGAGGAUCCGUUUAUCCCGAGGUCGCGCGGCGCGUCCAAGUCCUUCUUGAACGGGGCCACAGCCCAUAGAGGGUGCCAGGCCCGUAGUGACCGCUGCCGUCCGCGGGAGGAUCCCUCCUCAGAGUCGGGUUGCUUGAGAGUGCAGCCCUAAGUGGGUGGUAAACUCCAUCUAAGGCUAAAUAUGACCACGAGACCGAUAGCGAACAAGUACCGUGAGGGAAAGUUGAAAAGCACUUUGAAGAGAGAGUUCAAGAGUACGUGAAACCGUUCAGGGGUAAACCUGAGAAACCCGAAAGGUCGAAAGGGGAAAUUCAUCGCGUUUCGGUUAGGGCUGAAGAUGGUCGAGCGACGGAUGGCGUCCGCGUCGUCUGCACCUUCCGUUUUUCGAACCUUAGCCGAACGCGUGCACUUUUCCCCAAGUAGGACGUCGUGAUCUGUUGGGUGCCGGUCUAAGGCCCGCGGUGGAGCCCAUGCGGACGGUUCGCCGUUCCGUGCGGACCCGUGGUGUUCCCGGCCGGCUCGCUCGACGGUAUACAGAUGGCGCGGGGCCGCGAAUUUAAUUCGCGUCUGGCCCGUGGCAAGCGCGCUCGCGUGUCGGCGAUCGGACCUAGUGCCGGUCCUGGCCCCGAGCGACUGUUGGCUGCGGUGUUCUCGGACAGACCCCGUUGAAACGCCGAUCUACGACGCUAUAGCUUUGGGUACUUUCAGGACNNNNNNNNNNNNNNNNNNNNNNNNNNNNAGCAUGUGCGCGAGUCAUUGGGAUAUAACUAAACCUAAAGGCGCAAUGAAAGUGAAGGUUCGUCUUGCGCGAACCGAGGGAGGAUGGGCGGUUCGCCCUUAAAGUGGCCGCCCCGCACUCCCGGGGCGUCUCGUUCUCAUUGCGAGAAGAGGCGCACCAAGAGCGUACACGCUGGGACCCGAAAGAUGGUGAACUAUGCCUGGUCAGGACGAAGUCAGGGGAAACCCUGAUGGAGGUCCGUAGCGAUUCUGACGUGCAAAUCGAUCGUCGGAACUGGGUAUAGGGGCGAAAGACUAAUCGAACCAUCUAGUAGCUGGUUCCCUCCGAAGUUUCCCUCAGGAUAGCUGGCGCUCGUAGCGCACGAGUCUCAUCCGGUAAAGCGAAUGAUUAGAGGCAUUGGGGUCGAAACGACCUCAACCUAUUCUCAAACUUUAAAUGGGUGAGAUCUCCGGCUUGCUCGAACUCAUGAAGCCGCGAGACACGGAUCAGAG